rnacentral:lncRNA from 1 species
UUUUUUUUUUUUUUUUUUUUUUUUUUUGUAUUUUUAGGGCUUUGCCUGUGGCAUAUGGAGGUUCCCAGGCUAGGUAUCAAAUUGGAGCUGUGGCCACUGGCCUACGCCACAGCCACAGCAACGUGGGAUCUGAGCCUCGUCUGCGAUCUACACCACAGUUUAGGGCAAUGCAGAUCCUUAACCCAUUGAGCGAGGCCAGGGAUAGAACCUGUGUCCUCAUGGAUGCUAGUCAGAUUUGUUUCUGCUGAGCCAUGGCAGGAACUCCAAGAAACAUCUUUCAUUUGAAGAUCAUGUGUUUGAUUCCUUUUUUACAAAUCCAAAUCCAAAUGAGGAAAGCUUUUUUCUUCCCAUUUUGUUGAUGAUAACAGAGACACUGUAGGCAGUAUCUAGAGAUGAGAACAAAAAGUACGUUUCACUCUAGUACACUAUUCAGUCUAGUUGCCAGUCUCAAAUGCUUUGGGAAGCCUACAGGUUGCCAGAAUUUAGCUUCAUGAACAUAUAUAAAGAUUGAACCUCCUCAUUUUCUCAGAUUAUUUUCUGUUGAGAUUCAGACCUUGUGUUUAUAGGGUUGCUUAACACGAGUGCCCAUGGGCCCCACUUCUCUUGUUUUUAGGAAAGGAAGCCUUGAGGCAACAGCACUACUGAGGUGACCAGCCUCCCCAAGAGUAGUCCCCUUGUCUAGCACAGGCUAACAAGCAGAGGAGAGCCUUGAUGUUGCAUCCUGUAAGGAUAUUCUUCCUUCACAGUAUAGGUAGAUUAUUAGGAGUCUGACCUUGGCUCUUGCACUUUUUGUAUGAUGAAUCUUUUUUGUGUUUGUACUUUUGAAUUGUGAGCUAGUCUUCAGUAAGGCUUUAUCUGUUGGAAUCUUAUGUGGUUAAGGUUGAAUUAUAUCUUAAGAGUUUUUUUUUUUUUUUUUUUCUUUUUUGGCCACCUCACAGCAUAUGGAGUUCCUGGGCUAGGGAUCAGAUCCAAGCUACAUUUUUGACCUAUACUGUAGUUGCACCAUGCAGGAUCCUUUUAACCCACUGUGCUGCCGGGCCAGGGAUUGAGCCUGCAACCUGGCACUGCAGAGACUCUGCCAAAUCCAAUUGUGCCACAGCGGGAACUUCUCAGACAUGUUUUAUAUUUGCUUCUAGGCAACUAAGAUGUAUAACUUGCUUGGGACCACUUUAGUUUGGGUUAGUUUCUUGGGCCAUGUAGAUAAGUGUAUAUUGGAACCUCAAAUUGGUUUGAGGGCAGACUCCUGAUUACAGACCUUUCUUUUUUCCUUUGAUCUAGAUUGACACAGAUUUUAUGUUCUCUUCUGUGUUGGUAGUUAGAUCUUUUUCUAGAUCACUCUUUAAUGAGAGUAUAAUUCUUCAGGGUCCAGGCUUUAUGUAGAGGUCGUAGCCCCUUCUUUUUAGCUUCCUUGAGCACAAAGCAUUGUCUUUUAUCCCCACCGCCACUAUCCCCUCAUGUAAGAUUGGCACCUUCCUCUUUCCCAGGACUGCUGUAGUGUCAGCCCUCGAGAAUAUCUGUGUUUUCAGUUUAGCUUUCAUUCUUGAUCCUUGGGGAUUCCUAUUACUUUGUGUGUGUGUGUGUGAGAGAGAGAGAGAGAGAGAGAGAGAGAGAGAGAGAGAGAGAGAGAGAGCGAGCGAGCGAGCUAGAGAGGGAAAAUAACUACAUUUUAAAUGGAUGCUUAUUAUAAUUUUACGCAUAUUUCUAGGUGAUUUUCAGGGUCUCCCCCCUUGCCAAGAGGCCAAGCAAGAAGUCCUUGUGCAACUCAUUAGAUGUACUUUGUGCACUGUGGUUCUAUCUUGUUGGUUUCUUUCUUUUUUUUUCUUUUUGUCUUUUGUCUUUUUAGGGCCACACCAGUGGCAUAUGGAGGUUCCCAGGCUAGGGGUCUAAUCAGAGCUGUUGCUGCCGACCUACACCACAGCCAUAGCACUGCCAGAUCCGAGCUGUGUCUAUGACCUACACUACAGCUCAUGGCAACACUGGAUCCUUAACCCACUGAGCGAGGCCGGGGAUUGAACCCGCAACCUCAUGGUUCCUAGUCGGAUUCGUUUUACCAUGGGGCCACAAUGGGAACUCCAAGUCAAAAAUCUUAAGUAGAGGCCUGCCUACUAUGUCAUAUCCAAGCUGGUGCAAAAAUAACUUAAUGAGAAGUUCCCACUGUGGUGCAGUUGUGUUAAUGAUCUGGCAUUAUCUCUGUGGAGGCAUGGGGUUUGAUCCCCUGCCAGUGCAGUGGGUUAAGGAUCAGUUGUUGCCACAGCUGUGGUAUAGAUGGUAGUUGUGGCUCAGAUUCCACCCCUGGCCUGGGAACUUCCAUGUGCCACAGAUGUGGCUAAAACAGAUUUACAAAUAAAAUAACAAUGAUAAGAACUUCAUCAAGAGCAGAACUGUCGUAAAACAGAGACAUUUGAAUGUGAAGAGGCCCACCUGUCAGAAUGUUUUUGGUUAUGGAAGCCAGUGUUUUCUGUUUUUAGUUAAUAGGAGGGAUGAUGAGGAGAUUCUGAAAAUAGCUGUGAUGUGGGUGUUCAGUAGUUUAUCUAUUAGCAUGGCCUCUAACCCUGGGUUUAUAAUGCUCUGCAGAUGCCACCAUUGACUCAGCUGGGCCUUUUGUUCAGCUUCACUGUUACAUAACAGUGAGUUGCAUCCUCAUUCUUGUAUGCUGUGGUGAGGAGGCGGGGAGGAUUAGCUCCUCAUCCUGUCCUUUUUCUGCCACUCACUCCCCUUUUGGGGACAUUUUUGUUUUGGCUACAGUGCUGGGGCAAUGUCCACUUGAGACUAGGUCACAUGAAUAUUUAAUGUCUUCUUGUUGACUGAAUGGCCAGAAGAUUGGAACUUUAUUAACCCUCUUUCCCAAAUGCAGGCCUGGAGUCUUUGUCCUUGAGAUUUGACAGCUGUCUCUAGGUGUUCCACUUUUAUUCUUCACUCUCAAUCUACUAGAUUAUUCUUGGAUGGUUGGUUGCCAGCUGUUGGCAUGUGAUUGCUGAUGAGGUAGAGGUUUGGGAUUUAAAUCUAGGGUACAGCCUUAGCCUGGUUAGAGAGAAACCAUGCAGCCCCAAACUGUACCAUUAGUUGAAUUAGGGUGAAUGAGUAUCUCUGGGUACCAAGGGACCAUGUGAGAGAGUGUAGAUAUGUUUAGGGCAAAUGUUUAGUAUAAUUAGAGGAGGAAGAUUCAUUGUACAUUUCCUGGUGGGAUAGUAAUGUCAUUUUUCAUUUUCGUGUUUGGGAUAUAUUUUAACUUAUGAUUAGAUUUGGUUAGGUAUUUGGUAUUUAUUCAAGUGGUACAGGCUUCUUUGGUGUCCAAAAAUGAAUUUUUGUUGUUUUCAUUUUGGAGUCAGAUAGUCUUAGGGCUUCUUGCUCUACAUCUGAGUUUUUUUCAUUGGGGCAUAUAUUUAUUAUAUCACCCCCACAGUGCCUGGCACAGUGUCUUUAUCAUAGACGGUACCUAAGUUUGGGACCGAAAAAGUUUCUAGCCUUUCUGCCUUUCCCUUUGACCAUUCUUUCUUCAGAUAACUGUUAGCCACUUUUUUCUUUAAAAUAUUUCCUCGAGCUUUUAGUUCAUCUCAGCCUUCUCCCUUCAUCCCCACUAUCAUGACAUUAUCUCCUGCCCAUAAUGUCCCUGUGUAUACUAUUUUGGUCUCUUCAUUAUAUCACGUCUCCUUUGAUAUACUGAAGUUUGACCUUGUCUUCAUGGCAUAGCAACUUUUAUCUGAAGAGUAAUGGGAGGUACAUGGCUGGGUAUGCAUAUACACCACAGGCCAUGUUCCAGUCUUUGACAGAUGGCCCUUCUUCCCAAGGGUUUGCAUCUAUUAUUUUCUGCUUAUGAAAAGGAGGUUCUCCUGCAGGUCCUCUUUUUACUUGUAAAAUUUGUAGCCUUAGUAACAUCCAGACUCCAUAUGCUUUCCCCAAGAGACAUUAUAGGAGUAUUCAUUUAAAAGAAGAAACCUCUUUUCUACUUUACUAUAUUGGCUUUAGGUCAAGCACACACUUGCUUUCUUACUUAUCUUUGCUAAUGUUCUUAUGUCACUGUUUUCUGCAGUAUUUAUGUUCAGUGUUAGACUAGGGAGAAGUAUAGCACAAGUUUACAUAAGUUAACUCUGAUUGGCUCAGUGAUAUGAAUCUUAAACUCCUUAUUUCUACAGUUUGAGAGAGAGAGAGAGAGAGAGAGAGAGAGAGAGAGAGAGAGAGAGUGAGAGUGUCUGUGUGUAUGUGUAUAAGAUCCUAAGGAAAGUUCCCCUUGUGGUCUGUGGUAAUGAAGCCGACCAGUCCAUGAUGAUGUGGGUUCGAUCCCUGGCCCUACUUAGUGGGUUAAGGAUCCCCCAUUGCCAUGAACUGUGGUGUAGGUCACAGACACUGCAUAGAUCUGGCAUUGCUGUGGCCGUGGUGUAGGCUGGCAGCUGCAGCUCUGAUUUGACCCCUAGCCUAGGAAUAUGCUACAGGUGCAGCACUGAAAGAAAAAAAAACAAAAACAAAAACCUAAGAUCUGGGCACAGGUUGAAUAACCUUGGCCAUAAAGUAACAGUGAAAUACAUAACCUAGAUAGAGUACUUAAGUCUUCUUAGAAUUCUGUUCAGAACUGGGCCACAUCUACACAAACAGGGAGGGCAAGCUAGUGAGUCCAAUUUGUACCUGCCUGUGAGGUGCUGUUUGUUUAUGACAUUGAUCAGACCUAGAGCCUUCCAGAGGGAACCCAAGGGAGAUUUGUUUCAGAGAUUGUUCCAAUUCCUGCUGGGCUCAGAGGAAGAGAGAGGAAAGCCUAUCCCCAAGCUGUGCAUGGGGAUGCUGGGAGGCUUAAUUAGCCUUUUAACCCUAAGUUAUUGUGUCUUAAAGGAAAGGAAGUUUAUUACUAAUUUGUUAUUAAUUACCUAAAGAGAAAAGUAAGCUAGAUAAUUUUUCAAAUUUGUACUUUGACGUAAGAUUUUUUUUUCUUUAUUAUUUAUUUAUUUGCCUUUUCUAGGGCCGCUCCCACGUCAUAUGGAGGUUCGCAGGCUAGGGUUCUAAUCAGGGCUGUAUCUGCCAGCCUAUACCACAGCCACAGCAACAUGGGAUCCGAGCCGCGUCUGCAACCUACACCACAGCUCACGGCAACGCUGGAUGACAUAAGAUAUUUUUGUACUCAAGUGUUUAAACCUUUGGAGAACCAGGAAUAGAUGAUUUUAUUCUCUGUUAACUGUCUUUCAGAAGGUUAUUUUUAACUUCUAAAUACUUGAUUAUAUUUUUCCUAAAGACAUUUUCUUAUAUAACCACCGAACAGUUCUCAAAAUCAGAAAAUAAUAAUUGAUACAAUACUGUUAGCCAAUCCAUAGUCCAUAUUCAGGUGUAUCAGCUAUUGUCCUCAGCACUGGCUUUUAUAGCUGUUAUCUUCCCCAGGUCCAGGAUCUAAUCAGGAUCCCGCAUUGAAUUUAUUUAUUUUUAUUAUUUUUUUAUUAUAGUUGAUUUACAAUGUUUUGUCAAUUUCUGCUGUACAGCACAGUGACCCAGUUAUACAUGUAUGUACAUUCUUUUUCUCACAUUAUCUUCCAUCACAAAUGAUUAGAUAUAGUUCCCUGUGCUAUACAGCAGGAUAUUAUUGGUUAUCCACUCCAGAUGCUAUAGUUUGCAUCUACUAACCUCAAACCACAUUGAAUUCAGUCUCCUCUAAUCUAAAAUAGUUCUUAGAGAAUUACUUUACAUUUAUGGUAUAAAAAAAAAAAGAUUUUGGGGAUUGUGUUUGAACGGAACUCCUUAAUGUAAUUCACUUCUUUCACAUUUUAGCAGCUAUUAAUAGGUUUGGUCAUCUAAGGGGGUGUGUUAGCUAAGGGAGGGGCAGUAUCUAAUAGAUGAUGGUUAGACUCUAUAUGUAUUUUGAAUUGCUUAGAUCACUGAAUGAUCCUUCUUGGUUCUGCUGGUUUUUUUUUUUUUUUUUUUGUCUAAUUCCGUAAUCAUUUUUUAUUAUCCACUGAAAAUAUGGAAAGCAGUGUUGGAAACAGAUUUGGUUUAUCUGUGGUUGUUUUCUUCUUUUGUGAUUUAAGGGGGUGAACCCACUAUGGAUUCCCACUUAACAAAUCCAUAUGUCAUUUAAUUACUAAUAUAAGUCAGCUGGAAAUGUGACAUUUAGUAUUUUAAAGGUACAGGUACAGAGUUCCCUUGUGACGCAGCAGAUUAAAGAUCCGGUAUUGUCACAGCAGUUGCUCAGGUCAUAGCUGUGUCAUAGUUUCAGUCCCUGGCCUGAAAACUUCCCCAUGCCAUAGGAACAACAAAAAAAAAAAAAAAAAGGUACAGGUACCAGCUGCAUUGAAAUAAAUGCCACAAUUUAUUUUUCUAUAUAAGAAGUCAAGAAAUAAUUGAGCUUUAUAUUUUCCAUUGUACUUUGCAGAUGUAAGUUUUUCCUGUGAUUUAUCAUUUUUUUUAAUUCUUUUUUUUUUCUUUUUUUUUGUCUUUUUGCCUUUUCUAGGGCCACUCCCAUGGCAUAUGGAGUUUCCCGGGCUAGGGGUAUAAUUGGAGCUGCAGCCACCGGCCUACUCCAGAGCCACAGCAACUUGGGAUCUGAGCUGCGUCUGCAACCUACACCACAGCUUACGGCAACGCCAGAUCCUUAGCCCAUUGAACAACGCCAGGGAUUGAACCUGCGACCUCAUGGUUCCUAGUCUGAUUCGUUGACCAUUGCACCACGAUGGGAACUCCGAUUUGUCAUUUAAAUCCUUGUGGGCACUGGGAUGUUCUCCAGCUUCAAUAACCAAUUACCUGAUUCUCUAGAUAUUAACUGGGUAUCCAGCAACUCAUUUCUGAUACUGAUUACGCAGAGUUAGUGCAGACUCUACAGGUUAAGGCCACAGUCCCGGAGUUCCCGUUGUGGCUCAGGGGGUUAAGAAUUCAACUAGUAUACAUGAGGAUGCAGGUUCGAUCCCUGGCCUCGCUCAGUAGGUUGAGGAUCCUGUGUUGCCUCCAGCUGUUGCAUAGGUCUCAGAUGCAUCUCGGAUAUGGUGUUGUUAUGGCUGUGGCAUAGGCUGGCAGCUGCGGCUCUGACUUGACCCCUAGCCUGGCAACUUCCAUAUGCCACAAGUACAGCCCUAACAAAAAAAAAAAAAAAAAA